CCUACGUGAGGCAGCAGUGGGGAAUAUUGCACCAUGGGGGAAACCCUGAUGCAGCGACGCCGCGUGAGUGAAGCAGUAAUUCGUUAUGUAAAGCUCUAUCAGCAGGGAAGAAAAUGACGGUACCUGAGUAAGAAGCCCCGGCUAACUACGUGCCAGCAGCCGCGGUAAUACGUAGGGGGCAAGCGUUAUCCGGAUUUACUGGGUGUAAAGGGAGCGUAGACGGCAGUGCAAGUCUGGAGUGAAAGGCGGGGGCUCAACCCCCGGCCUGCUCUGGAAACUGUACGGCUGGAGUGCAGGAGAGGUAAGUGGAAUUCCUAGUGUAGCGGUGAAAUGCGUAGAUAUUAGGAGGAACACCAGUGGCGAAGGCGGCUUACUGGACUGUAACUGACGUUGAGGCUCGAAAGCGUGGGGAGCAAACAGGAUUAGAUACCCUUGUAGUC
rnacentral:rRNA from 1 species